UCAUUAGUCAUGAGAUAUCAGGUCUUGUAUCCAGGAGACAGCACCAACAAACUCCUACGGAAGUGCUGGACUGUGGUUCCUUUUCCAGACAUAGACAGCUGAACUGUAAGAUUUGUUUUUACACGCUUACUUUAUUUUACUUUUCAACCGUUACUUUAAUUAUCUUAUACUUUCUUUUACUUGUGUAUUUCUUACAGUCUCACCCACAGGGUGACCAACAAUAUUGUGUAAUUACACUUUGACAGUUUAAUGAAUAACUCUAGCAUAGAUAUAUGAUACAUAGCUGCAGACUGUCUCAAAUCUUUAUCCACAGUCCCUAGUUUCCUCCGCAUGCCUUUGUUGCCUCCGCAUUCCUGACAUUGAUUCCCAGAUUUAGAAAUCGGUUGUUAAUUUUAUGUUUCCUGUAUUGGUGAUUAAAAAAUAUAUAUUUUCACUGUGAUCAAUAGUACGCUGUCGUGUGAUAAAAAUUACGCUAAUUCAAUAAUAAUGAUGGAAACAAUUAAACUCCAUGCACUAUAAACACCUCAGCAAGGUUUGUUCAUUUGAAAUACAAACUAGUGGCUGUAUUAUUAUUAUUUUUUAUAUAAAUAUAGUUGUGGAAUAGUAAAACAAUGUUAAUAUCUCUCAUAAUCAUACCCUAAAUGUAUUUCUUCUGUAGUAACUUACACCAUUUUGCAAUGGUUAUUCACUGAAGUGAGAAUUUAAAGUGAAUAUCAAAUUUAAGGUCUAAAUAGUCAAACCGGAAAAAAAGUCAGUUAUGCUUUCAGUUUGGCUACUCUGGCCUUAACUAUGAAAUUCACCUUGAGUUUACACAUUAGUCAAUAUUCCUGUAAGACUGUUGCUUCGGUUACAAAAUCAAUAAUUGUACGUCUUUCAAUAACAGGUUUUACAAUCUGUGCUUCCUAAUACUGCAUUUUAUCGCUCAUGUUAUUUUUUUUUUCAGAAUUGGAAGAUGGAUUCAGAGCAUAAAACAAUUCAGAACAGAAAUCAGAAAUCGUUGCAAGGGUAAAUAGCCUCUCUUAACGGGAACUGUUUAUAAAUAUUUUUCUUUAAUGCGAUCAUAGUAUUUGAUCUGUGAUAAAUGACGGAAGUUUUAUUUUCAUUGAAAGAAUUACAGGAGGUGGCAAAAACGUAAAGUCUUCAAACAAACUUCAAGUGAGGUUCAUGGAGUAUGAUCCUCAAAUAAACUGCAAGAUUCCCCUGGAUAUAUAUGGGAGACCUGAAACCUAUCGCUGGAAGACAGAAUAUGAUGAGGCAUUUAACAUGGAUUCCGAGGUUUAGUAAAUUUACUUGUUCAUGAUGAGGCUAAUGCACUCGAGAAAAAAAAAGCAUUCGACUUGACGUUUAUAUCUUAAAUCUACAGGGCAAGUGGAAGUGACAAAUCUGGGGAUGUGGGAAGUACGAUGGAUGAAUAAAGGUAGGUUAGGACUUGGAAAUAUUGGGGUACAAUGGAUCUGUGCUAUCAAGGAUAUGAAAUGACCCCAACUUGCAGUACGAAAGCCUCAUAUCUUACUAUUAGAAAGGUUAAGGAAAGAAUAGGACUGUGUUGUAUUACUGGUCCUUAGGAUGACCUGGCCUAAAGGGACACUCCACUGCCCAAAUACAAAAUAAAUACAAAUCUAUAUUUAGUAGAUAUGCACCAAAUGAAAACUUAUAUGUAUUUAAUUAUAAUUUUUUAUUGGGGUUUUAUCUAAAACAGCUUCUAAAACCUACAGAUCUCGUCUGCUGCCUUUGCAAGCCCCACACUUCGAACCCCUGCCCAGACUUUCUGUGACUGUCCAAUCACAGACUUCCCAAUGCAGCUCAGUGUGAAGUCUUUACAAGUCAGGUGCUCUGGGCAAUUGCUGCUUUUAGAGUUUAUCUCCACUAAGCUAAUCAAACCAGGAAGUAACAGAAGCGGUUCUAUGAUUGAUAGCCAAGUGGGUGUAGCCAGAUUAAUUUAUAAAAGUCUAAAUUUCUAUUUGCAUCUGCCCUUUUUGCAAAAUGAAAAAAAGGACACACUCUUCACACGUAAAGCUUUUCAGCAACCAAAAGUGCUUUAGACGUGUGGAGUGUCCCUUUAAUGCAGACCGUAUUGCAAGGUAUAAAAUAGUUAGCCUACUGAUAGUAUGAGAGAAAAUGUGGUGUAAUUGUGGAUGGAAGUUAUAGAAGACCUGCGUGGGCAAAUUCUACCUCUCCCUUCUAUGGGUUAAAUUUCCAUGGGAGGAUCCAGGCAGGUAUUGCACUGAAUAGAGGAAGUUCUACAGGUGAAGCCAGUUGCCAAUCACUUGCCUCAUUAUCAGUGUAUGUAAGAGCAGCCUGAGUCAGUUCACUCAGAGUCUGAUAUUCCAGCCGAGAGAGCUGGACUGAUACAAACUGAGCUUUAUCUCUUGCUAUGAUACUUUUGUGUUUGUUGGUAAGUGGAAAAGCCACCCAACAAUAGUUAGAUAAUUCUGUGUAUAGUUAGCACUCAAGAAAGGGCAAUGAUUUAUUUUGUUUAUGUUUUAUAUCCACUUUUUGAAUGUGUUAAAGAAAAUAAAAUGCUUAAAGCCAGAGAUGGAGUGUGUCCUGUGUUGCAACUUGCCAUCAAAGUCCGUGGUUUCAAAAGAUCCCAGAUAAACUAACCUUUAAAUACACAGGAAAUAUUUGUCACAAUAGGCAGAACGCUCCAUAAUAAAACGAGGGCUGUUAAAUUGGAUAAAUGUAUAACUUGGUGAGGUGAACCAGCAAUCAGAAUGAAUGGCAAACCCUUUUGCACUUAGUGCUGCAAUGUAAAACAUCGAAGUUCCAGAGAAUGUUUAGAUUGCAGCUCUAAGGCUGCCCUCAGUGGCUGUUUACCACAUUGAAUAAUGCUUUCCUAUGGGGAGGUCUAAUGCGCAUGCGUGGCCGUGGGAGUAGCGUGGGCAGAGAAUGACCCAGCGCCGAGGGACAUUGGCGCUGGAUUCAGGAUAGCCCUUUGGGAGUGGGGGGGGGGUGUGAGGGAGGGAGGGACCUAUUAACCCUUAAGUGCCAGGAAAAUGCCUUUUUUUUCCUGGCACUAUAGGAUCCUUUUAACAGAGAAUAUAAAUCAAGGAAAGCUUUAGAAGGUCUGAGAGCAACAGAAGGCUUCACUUGACCCGGUAGUAUGUCCCUCUGGUUAGUCGGGGGUCGAUUUGAUCUUGGCUCAUAUUUAUUGAUUUUUUUUUACUUUUCUCCAUCUCAUUGUUUCCGCCGUCCCUAUUGUUAUUUUAUUUUAAAGAUCAUUGUGUAUUCAUGAAAGAAUAAAGUAAGAUGGGCUAAAGGAAUAAUCAGUGUGAUGGGGGUAAUAGUAAUGUGUGCAGGAAAUAAAUGGAUGGGGAGGCAAAUAACAGGAAAAAAAAUCAUUAGUAUAAAAAAAAGGAAGCAACGGGAGAAACAAUCACAGAGAAACCUCAAAACAAAGAACAUUGAUACGACUAGGAAAAUAAUGAAAGUGAGAAAAAUCAAUAGUAACUUACUGAUAGACUGAUAGAGAGAAGGGAGAGGAAAUAAUGUGUGCGGACCCCCUCCUCCCUGGAAAAGUGGUCCGUACAAUGGAAAAGAAGAGGAGGGAGCAGGGGAGAUAGGUGGAGAUAUUAAGAGGGGGCAGUGGAAGAGAGCAUUAAAGAAGUAGAAACCAAUAAAAACAAGGAAAGAAAUAGGUGGGGGAAUUAUAUUUCUGGUCCAAAUUUUCAGAAGUUCAAAAUUGAUAAUGCUAAUAAAUUGUCAAUUACGUCGAUUUACGUUUGGUGAUUGUAAAACUGGAUUGCUCGGCUUCUUGUUUGUAUAACUUGGAAACAAAUCUAUCAGAUAUUCAGAACUUAAGCUUCCAAAUUCAAGUAAGAAAAUCUUUGCUCCACGUGGCCUGUGAGAAAAAGUUGUUUAAAAAAUCUUAUUUUUAAUGAAAUGGGUAUUGAAAGAUGAUCAUUUUCUAAUGAUUGUUAAAUUAUCAUGUAACAACAUGUAAAACAGCAAAACAAAACUAAAAUGUAUUACUUUACUUUCCGCAGGUCCACCUUACUUUCCGCAGGUCCAGGUGAUAUGUUUUGGAAGCAAUCAUUGAACUCACAAGAUCUGUAAUUUGGCUACAUAUCUUCUUCCCUAUUCCUUGGCCGGUCCUAUACUGAAACCAUGUAAGCAGAAAUCACAAAAAUGUCUAAUACAUCUUGAAAAGGACAAUGUUUUCCGUAUUUCAGUAAAUUUCCAAAUCAAAUUUCGAGCUUGUCACCAUAUUUGGCCAAGACUUUUGUGAAACCUUAAUUAAUGAAAAUGCGUGUGUCUCAAGCCUCUUACGCACUUUACCAUUCACUAAAUGAAUAGUUAGAAGAUAAAUCCAGUAUAAUUCUUCUUAGCUAAUAAGACUCUGUUAGAAAGUUCUUUCUUUCUUCACUAGUUGCCAGCAAUCGCAAAUGUAUGCGAUUUAACCUCAACAUAUGAGGAAAGGGAUUUAGGGGUGAUUAUUUCUGAUGACUUAAAGGUUGGCAGACAAUGUAAUAGAGCAGCAGGAAAUGCUAGCAGAAUGCUUGGUUGUAUAGGGAGAGGUAUUAGCAGUGGAAAGAGGGAAGUGCUCAUGCCAUUGUACAGAACACUGGUGAGACCUCACUUGGAGUAUUGUACACAGUACUGGAGACCGUAUCUUCAGAAGGAUAUUGAUACCUUAGAGAGGGUUCAGAGAAGGGCUACUAAACUGGUUCAUGAAUU